rnacentral:rRNA from 1 species
UAUAACCGGCGAUUUCCGAAUGGGGAAACCCAGUGUGAUUCGUCACACUAUCAUUAACUGAAUCCAUAGGUUAAUGAGGCGAACCGGGGGAACUGAAACAUCUAAGUACCCCGAGGAAAAGAAAUCAACCGAGAUUCCCCCAGUAGCGGCGAGCGAACGGGGAGCAGCCCAGAGCCUGAAUCAGUGUGUGUGUUAGUGGAAGCGUCUGGAAAGGCGCGCGAUACAGGGUGACAGCCCCGUACACAAAAAUGCACAUGCUGUGAGCUCGAUGAGUAGGGCGGGACACGUGGUAUCCUGUCUGAAUAUGGGGGGACCAUCCUCCAAGGCUAAAUACUCCUGACUGACCGAUAGUGAACCAGUACCGUGAGGGAAAGGCGAAAAGAACCCCGGCGAGGGGAGUGAAAAAGAACCUGAAACCGUGU